rnacentral:rRNA from 1 species
UACGGAGGGGACUAGCGUUGUUCGGAAUUACUGGGCGUAAAGCGCACGUAGGCGGAUUUGUAAGUCAGGGGUGAAAGUCCCGAGGCUCAACCUCGGAACUGCCUUUGAUACUGCAAAUCUCGAGUCCGGAAGAGGUGAGUGGAAUUCCUAGUGUAGAGGUGAAAUUCGUAGAUAUUAGGAAGAACACCAGUGGCGAAGGCGGCUCACUGGUCCGGUACUGACGCUGAGGUGCGAAAGCGUGGGGAGCAAACAGG